rnacentral:rRNA from 1 species
UACGGAGGGUGCAAGCGUUAUCCGGAUUCACUGGGUUUAAAGGGUGUGUAGGCGGGUAGUUAAGUCAGUGGUGAAAUCUCCGGGCUCAACCCGGAAACUGCCAUUGAUACUAUCUAUCUUGAAUAUUGUUGAGGUAGGCGGAAUAUAUCAUGUAGCGGUGAAAUGCUUAGAUAUGAUAUAGAACACCGAUUGCGAAGGCAGCUUACUAAACAAUUAUUGACGCUGAGGCACGAAAGCGGUGGGGAUCAAACAGG